rnacentral:rRNA from 1 species
AUAGGUCGGGUGUGUAAGCGUAGCGAUACGUUGAGCUAACCGAUACUAAUGAACCGUGAGGCUUAACCUUACAACGCCGAAGGUGUUU